rnacentral:rRNA from 1 species
CCUACGGGAGGCAGCAGUGGGGAAUAUUGCGCAAUGGGCGAAAGCCUGACGCAGCGACGCCGCGUGAGGGAUGAAGGUCUUCGGAUCGUAAACCUCUGUCAGCAGGGAAGAACGGUCACUGUGCUAAUCAGCAGUGAAUUGACGGUACCUGCAAAGGAAGCACCGGCUAACUCCGUGCCAGCAGCCGCGGUAAUACGGAGGGUGCGAGCGUUAACCGGAAUUAUUGGGCGUAAAGCGCUCGUAGGCGGUAUGUCAAGUCAAGGGUGAAAUCCCCGCGCUCAACGUGGGAACUGCAUUUGAAACUGGCAAACUGGAGUGUGUGAGAGGAGAGUGGAAGUCCAGGGGUAGGAGUGAAAUCCGUAGAUAUCCGGAGGAACAUCAGUGGCGAAGGCGACUAUCUGGCACAUAACUGACGCUGAGGAGCGAAAGCGUGGGUAGCAAACAGGAUUAGAUACCCGUGUAGUC